AGUGCAGAGUUUUGAAAACCUUCAAAACUGCAAAGGCAGCUAAUGAGGAGAGAGCUCCCAAAAAGAUCUCAGUGAUGAGCUGUGUAAAAAGACCUGUCCUUAGAUGACACCUAACAGCAUGGGUUACAGAAAGCCAACACCCCUUUCUGCUUUGGUUUGUCCUGCUCUGUUCAGUUUUGGGCCCCUCAGUUCCAGGAAGACAUUGAGUUGCUGGAGCGUGUCCAGAGGGCAAAGGAGCUGAUGAAGGGUCUGGAGCACAGGGGUUAUGGGGAGUGGCUGAGGGAACUGGGGGUGUUUAGCCUGGAGAAGAGGCUGAGGGGAGGUAUUGCCACUCUCUGCAGCUCCCUGAACAGAGGUUUGUAGGGAGAAGGAUGUUGGUCUCUUCUCCCAAGUAACAAGUGAUAAGAUGAGAGGAAAUGGCCUCAAGUUGCACCAGGGGCAAUUCAGGUUGGAUAUUAGGAUAAAAUUCUUCACUGACAGAGUGGUGAAGCUCUGACAGAGGCUGCCCAGGGAAGUGGUGGAAUCGCCAUCCCUGGAGAUUUUCAGAAGGCAUAUAGAUGUGGCACUUUGGGACAUGGUUUGGUAGGCACAGUGGUGUUGGGCUGACGCUUGGACUUGAUGAUCUUAGAGGUCUUUUCCAACCUUAAUGAUUCUGUUCUACAGCUUAUUAUUGGGUUAGAUUAGGACACAGGCAUAAGUUGCCUCUGGCAGUGUCGCGUCUGUUAAUGUUGUUUCUGUUGUAGUGAAGCUGCUUUUGUCACUGCUCCAAAUAAGGGUACCUUUUCCCAGGAGGAGCAGGGCACUGGUGGCUGCUUCUGUCAGUGAACAGAUGCGGUGCCUGGGCGGGAAAGAGGACUGCCUGUGAACAGUCCUUGUGAGCUCUUGGGCCACUCACUGAUUCCUACCCAGCCCUGGGCACAGCUGGAGAGGGAGAUGGGCUAUCUGACUGCACCCAUGCUGUUUGGGCCUUGUGGUCACGAACAGGGGUGAGGGGCCUUUGGAAGGGUACUGUAAGGAGAGAACAUUUCUCCAUGUAGCCUGGGGAAAACCUUCCAAGAGGUGGCUAUGGAUAGGGUUUCACAAUACGGUGUCCCACAUAAAGGAUUGAGAAAAUCUGUUCUCCCUAAUGUGGGGAGCAGUUGACUUUCCCCAGGCUGCAUCUUCCCUUCUGAAGAUGAGGGUGCAUGGGAAGAGGUGACAUCCUGUUGCAGUGCCAGAGAAGACAGCAAGCUUUCACUCUGUAACUGUUAGUGGAAGCUUGUGGGAGCUGAGGAGAUGGUCCCGAGGCUGGGCUGCUUGUGCCAUCCCAGCGGGGCUGGAGCCCACUGGUGCUCCCUCUCACAACCAACAUGCUGACAGGAACGGGAUUUUCUCCAUCUCACCUGUGGUGUCAAGGUCUCUCACAAGACCAACCAGCAACAGCUCUGCAAGUCGUACUGGUUGCAAGAAAGCUGUCAGCAAGGGUGCAAAACCUCACGGGCCAGGCCUCAGAUUGUGUGUAGGAAAGCAUCAUUGUAGUUGGUGUUUUCAUUUGUCUGAAGCAAGGACUGUCUGUUGGCACCUUUGUGCAUUUGUCUGCCUUCAGAUGGAAGGAGCACUGUGGAAAAUAUACCAGCAGCCCUUUUUCCAUCAAAAAGAGGAGAGGAAGGCACUUGCGAAGGUGGCACAUCAGUGGGUGAAGCUGCCACCCCUGGGGAUCCUUGGAUUGUGGCUCACAUCCUGGGGGCUGGAUCACCCGGAGAAAUGGGAGGAAAGAGCCAAAAAUAUGAGCGAGGGAGCCCAAAGCCCUGGCUUUGGAGAAACCUCCUGGAGCUGCUGUGCUGGCAUGGUAGGUGGGCCUUGUCCCUUUGAUUUGGAGCACUCCUGUCAGAGGGAGCCUGGAAAGGCUUGGUGCCACUGCUCCAGUCGGUGCUAAUGAGGGGGCUCUCUCCUCUCAUCAUAGCAGUAAUGAGAGAUUACAGCUCCACCACAGACUUGAAACCAGAGUCGAGCUGUAUCAAAGCGCCAGUCUGAAAUAAGAGCUUUUCCCAGUGGAUGGUAUUUUACAGCCCAGUGGCCAAUUUCUAAAUCGUAGAGGCUGAUUAUUUCUGAAGCCUUUGGUGUGCGGCUAAUGAAGGCCUGGAAAGGCCCUUCUGAAUGGUUAUAAGCCCUGCAGGCGGCAGAGAUGUAAUGUAGGUGACAGGCACAACUAGCCAUCUAUAAUUCCUCCUAGCAGCUGAUUAAAGUCUCUUUAUCCGUCUUACCAAGCUCAGAAGGGCACAUAUUUGGGAAAUCAAAAAUGCAUUAGGGGCUGUCAGCCAGCGUCAGGGGCCUGUGCGCUGAGCCCUGGGGCAUCGCUGGGGUGGCACAGAGCUGCGCCUGUCCCCUCUGUGGGAUGCAGCCUCUUCUGUGCAGGUUCCCUACAGCAUGUGUCACCCUAUCCUGUUAUCUGGGCACCCGCUUUCCUCGUGUGGAGCAGGGGAUGGAGUGGCUCUUUGUGCAGGAGCCUCCCAAGUGCAGGAGCACCCUGGUGGCUGCUGCAGAGACACUAAAGUGCUGUCCUCAUCCUGCACCCAACAAGUGGUGAAGGUCAAGCAUCCACCAGCCCAACUGUGCUGAAGGGCAGGUGAUGCAGCCACUUUCAUUGCACUCACAGCCCUGAGGUGGUCCGAAAUGCCCCAUAGUGGGAAUUUCGUGGAUGCAGCCAGAACAGAUAGCUCCCCUCCACCUGCCCAGCCUGAGCCUCAUGUUGGAAGCUGCUAAUUUUCCUGUGGUCUGUGUUAGCUCUUUGGGACUGGGGGAUGUGCACAGGCAGUGGGAUGAGACUGCUGGUUCGAAGGAGGAGUGCAGGACUGGAGGAUAGGGACCGCUGCUCCGAGGCAGAGGUGCGGGGCGGGCUGGGAACCGCUGCUCCGAGGCAGGGGUACGCGAGCCCUGGGUCCUCUCCUCCGAGGGCUCGGGGGCGAUGCCCGCUCCCCUGCCCCCGCGCCGGGGUGGGAUCAGGACGGGAUUUUCCUUGCGUGCGCUCCGUGCGGGGGGUCCGCAGCCCGGCCCCUGCCCCCACUCGCUGUCCCCUCCCCGCGGAGGGGAGCGCAGGGGGCAGAGGCGGGAUGGAGCGGGAGGGCGAGCGGCGGCCGCUGGUGCGGGCGGAGGGCAGCGCCGGACUCUCCUCCGCCGGCGCCGUCUUCAUCCUCCUGAAAUCGGCGCUGGGUGCGGGGCUGCUCAGCUUCCCCUGGGCCUUCAGCAGGGCGGGCGGCGCGGUCCCUGCUCUCCUGGUGGAGCUGGGCUCACUGGUCUUCCUGGUGAGUGGGCUGGCGGUGCUGGGCUACGCAGCUGCCCUCAGCGCCCAGCCCACCUACCAGGGGGUCAUCCGGGUGGUGUGCGGGGCAGUGGCGGGGAAACUCUGCGAGGUCUGCUUCCUCCUCAACCUCUUCAUGAUCUCCGUGGCCCUCCUCAGAGUGGUGGGUGACCAGCUGGAGAAACUGUGCGACUCCCUGUACUCCAAUGGGACGCUGAGCGGGAGCCUCCUGCCACCCCCCUGGUAUGCGGACCAGCGCUUCACCCUGUCGGCUCUCUGCGUCCUUGUCAUCUUCCCCCUCUCCGUCCCUAAGGAGAUUGGCUUCCAGAAGUAUUCCAGCAUCCUGGGCACGCUGGCUGCUUGCUACCUCACCAUGGUCGUCGUCCUGAAAUACUACCUGCAAGCAGAGAGCCUGAGUUUCUCCAAGCCCCCCCAGCCCUCCAGGGCCUCCUCCUGGGCCUCUGUCUUCAGCGUCAUCCCCACCAUCUGCUUUGGCUUCCAGUGCCACGAGGCCUGCGUGGCCAUCUAUAGCAGCAUGCGCAACCAGAGCUUUUCCCACUGGGUCACCGUCUCUGUGCUCUCCAUGCUGAUCUGCCUGCUCAUCUACUCCCUCACUGGUAACCCCAGCACUGGACCCCUUCUUCCCCUCCUGGCCUUUGGGAUCUCCCCCAUCCCCAGGGCUUAUCCAUCCUCAUUGGAGCUCUUCCAUCCUUCUCACUGGCAUGGCGGCCCACCCCCACCUCCCCAUCGGCAGGGGGUCUAUGGAUACCUGACCUUCGGGGAGGCCGUGGCAUCCGAUGUCCUGAUGUCCUACCCAGGGAAUGACCCGGUUGUCAUUGUUGCCCGUGUCCUAUUUGGUGUUUCCAUCAUCACCAUCUACCCCAUUGCGGUGCUGCUGGGCAGGUCAGUGGUGUGGGACAUGUGGGUGACUCCCAAGUGUGGGGCUGCGGCGGUGCCUGAGGCACAUGAGCAGCGGAGCCGGGUGGCACUGACGGUCACCUGGAUGGCCACCACACUUGCCAUUGCCCUGUUUGUCCCGGACAUCGGCAAGGUCAUCGAGCUCAUCGGGGGCAUCAGCGCCUUCUUCAUCUUCAUCUUCCCAGGCAAGACAGGGCUGUGCCUGGUGUGCAUGACCGGGACUCACACCCUUGGACCACGCAAAAAGUGAGUCUGCGGGCUCGGUGGCGGCAGGCAAGGGCAGGGACAGGGUGCAGCACCCCAUUCCCAGGCAGCGUCCCUUGGGGUCACCCUGGCCAAAGUGGGAGGCCCAUGCGGAGGGGGAUUUGGGGCACCUGCAGGCACUGAAAGCAGCAGCACUUGCUGUGGGAAGUGGUAGGCUGCAGUGGGGCAGAAGGGUGGCUGUGUGGGGAUGUACUCUAGCAGUGUGGAUGUGCCAGGGUAUCGGGGCUGUGCCUUGGUAUUAGGGAUGUGCCUGGCUAUCAAGGAUGAGCCCACACAGGGGGAUGUGCCCAGGUACCAGAGAUGUGCUCAGGCAUCGAGGAGGUGCCAAGGUACCACAUCCCUUGCAAGGCAACGCAGCCAUAGGGGAAGGAAAGCUGUUUGGAGGUACUGGGGCACCCAGUGAGGGCUGACCUGGGGAUCAGGGUGGGAGUCAGAGUGGUUUGGUACCCCAAGGCCAGCAGGAAUCAGGUGUUCAGUGUCUGUAGUGCCAGCACGAUGCAUCCCCAUUACAGCUCCUGACUGGAGAAGCUGGGGCACAGAGGGGAGCUGUCAAAUUUUUGGGGUAGGCAGUACCAAAGCAUGUCCGCAGGUGCCCAUGGGGGAAGAGUAGAGCCUUAGUGCAGAUGAGGUAACGCUAGGGGGGGGUUCUGUCCCCAUGGCAGCUGGGGGAGCACCGCAGGACCUUGGGGUCUCAGACAAGAGGGUGGCCAUGGCUGCCUGGGCAGAGGCGAGGGUGCCCCUGGGGGUGCUGAAGUGCUGGGGGACCAAGGCAGGAGGCGAGCAGGGGCACCAAGGUGGACACCAAGGACUUGGAAAGGUCCCUCAAGGAGACCCAUGAGGGCGUGAGCCCAUGAAUACCACCACGAAGAGAGGGGACAACACGAGCCAUGGCAAUGGGGACAGCGAGGGGACAGUCCCAGCCUGCCUGGGGCAGUUUGGGAAGGGUGCACAGUGCCAACAACCCCGAUGGAGCAGCAGCUGGGUUUGGAGCGGGCACAGGGAAUGAGCCGGAGGGGCUGACGGGGUCUUCAUCCACCUGCCAGCAGCAAUGUAGAGGAGGCCGAGACUGCACAGAGGGCUCCAGACCAGUGGGGCUGGGUGACCCAGGGCUGGCAUGUUACUGGAGAUCAGCUCUGUCCCCACCAGCCUUCUGCUCAUGUCCCCACAGGGCUGCUCUCAUCGCCUGGGGUAUCCUUUCUGUGCUCAGUGGCACCUUCGUCUGCGGGCAGAGUGCUGCUCUGGCCGUGCUGGGGCUCCUGCGUUAAGGGACUGCAGACCCCCCCUCAUCACGUGCCCACCACACACCCCCGAGA